CACGUAGGGGGCGAGCGUUGUCCGGAUUCAUUGGGCGUAAAGGGCGCGCAGGCGGCUCGGAAAGUCGGGUGUGAAAACUCGGGGCUUAACCCCGGGCCUGCAGUGGGUACGGGCAGACUAGAGUGCGGUAGGGGAGACUGGAAUUCCUGGUGUAGCGGUGAAAUGCGCAGAUAUCAGGAGGAACACCGGUGGCGAAGGCGGGUCUCUGGGCCGUAAC
rnacentral:rRNA from 1 species